AAAACGACUCUCGGCAACGGAUAUCUCGGCUCUCGCAUCGAUGAAGAACGUAGCGAAAUGCGAUACUUGGUGUGAAUUGCAGAAUCCCGUGAACCAUCGAGUCUUUGAACGCAAGUUGCGCCCUAAGCCUUCUGGCCGAGGGCACGUCUGCCUGGGUGUCACAA
rnacentral:rRNA from 10 species